rnacentral:rRNA from 1 species
UACGAAGGGGGCUAGCGUUGUUCGGAUUUACUGGGCGUAAAGCGCACGUAGGCGGAUCGUUAAGUCAGGGGUGAAAUCCCAGAGCUCAACUCUGGAACUGCCUUUGAUACUGGGUAUCUUGAGUAUGGAAGAGGUAAGUGGAAUUGCGAGUGUAGAGGUGAAAUUCGUAGAUAUUCGCAGGAACACCAGUGGCGAAGGCGGCUUACUGGUCCCAUAAC